CAACCAGCAACCUAUCAUCUGGACCCUGAAUGACAUACCCCGCACUACCUCUACCAUCCCUGAUACUGCCAUCAAAUUGAUCUUAACAAAUCUCGAGGGAGGCUCUUAGGAGAUCAAAAGAAUCCUACAAAUCACUGCAUGUGCAGCAAGAGAGUUUCAAAAACUCGGGAUGCCAAAAGACUAUUCAGUAGUGUCGAACUGACAGUACUCCUCUGUAAGACAACAAGCUCUCUCUAGCACUUGAAACACCGGCACAACCUUAGUAUUGAAAAUCAAGCUAUUCCUGGAUAGUUAAAUUUGAUGGGCAAUAUAUGCCAUCCUACCAUCCAAGGGCUAGCCCUCUAUUAUGCUCCAAUAGAUCGCAUUUAGGAAGGAGGAAAGCCAGGAGCCACUAGUUGCCC
rnacentral:lncRNA from 1 species